CAGUAUGCAACAAGUUUUUAAUGUUGUACGAGUAUAAUCAUUUGUAGUGUACAGCAAAUAUUGGCACAAUAAAGUGUUAGUGUUAAGCAACUAUAAGUCACCUUUUAUCGAACUUUUCUCGACUUGCUUCGUGAGGAGGUGUUGUAAUCUACGAUGACGUAACUUGCAUGUAUUAUUUGCACGCACAGUUUGAACACGCGUGGUCCUAUUACAUCAUCGUAAAAUAAAACUACGCAUAAUUCUGUUAACUUUUGAAAUAUAAUCCCAAAAGGAAUAACUGCACGUCUUCUUUAAAUCUAUUACAUAACAUAGCUUGUUAUUUUCUAACAACUUAUUUAACAGACAUAAUUUUCAUUUGCUUAAACAAGAAUAAUCG